rnacentral:rRNA from 1 species
GGCGACGCAUCUUCCAAGUGUCUGCCUUAUCAACUUUUGAUGGUAGUUUAUGCGACUACCAUGGUUGUAACGGGUAACGGAGAAUAAGGGUUCGACUCCGGAGAGGGAGCCUGAGAAACGGCUACCACAUCCAAGGAAGGCAGCAGGCGCGCAAAUUACCCAAUCUCAGAACGAGGAGGUAGUGACGAAAAAUAACGAGACGGUUCUCUUUGAGGCCCGUUAUCGGAAUGAGUACAAUUCAAACCCUUUAACGAGGAUCUACGAGAGGGCAAGUCUGGUGCCAGCAGCCGCGGUAAUUCCAGCUCUCGAAGUGUAUAUCAUUGUUGUUGCGGUUAAAAAGCUCGUAGUUGGAUCUGCGUCCGUGGAGCCGGUCUUCCCAACGGGACAGUACUGGUCUCCUGGACUAAAAAGGCUGGUUUUGCCUUGGUGCCUUUAACCGGGUGCCUUGGCUGACUAGCAAGUUUACUUUGAAAAAAUUAGAGUGCUCAAAACAAGCGUUUGCUUGAAUACUGGUGCAUGGAAUAAUGGAAUAGGACCUCGGUUCUAUUUUGUUGGUUUUCGGAACAUGAGGUAAUGAUUAAGAGGAACAGACGGGGGCAUUCGUAUUGCAGCGCUAGAGGUGAAAUUCUUGGACCGCUGCAAGACGAACAACUGCGAAGGCAUUUGCCAAGAAUGUU